rnacentral:rRNA from 1 species
GAUGAACGCUGGCGGCGUGCCUAAUACAUGCAAGUCGAGCGAACGGACGAGAAGCUUGCUUUUCUGAUGUUAGCGGCGGACGGGUGAGUAACACGUGGAUAACCUACCUAUAAGACUGGGAUAACUUCGGGAAACCGGAGCUAAUACCGGAUAAUAUUUUGAACCGCAUGGUUCAAAAGUGAAAGACGGUCUUGCUGUCACUUAUAGAUGGAUCCGCGCUGCAUUAGCUAGUUGGUAAGGUAACGGCUUACCAAGGCAACGAUGCAUAGCCGACCUGAGAGGGUGAUCGGCCACACUGGAACGGGGACACGGUCCAGACUCCUACGGGAGGCAGCAGUAGGGAAUCUUCCGCAAUGGGCGAAAGCCUGACGGAGCAACGCCGCGUGAGUGAUGAAGGUCUUCGGAUCGUAAAACUCUGUUAUUAGGGAAGAACAUAUGUGUAAGUAACUGUGCACAUCUUGACGGUACCUAAUCAGAAAGCCACGGCUAACUACGUG